GGAGCGGCCGAUGUCUGAUUAGCUUGUUGGUGAGGUAAAAGCUUACCAAGGCUUCGAUCAGUAGCUGGUCUGAGAGGACGACCAGCCACACUGGGACUGAGACACGGCCCAGACUCCUACGGGAGGCAGCAGUGGGGAAUUUUGGACAAUGGGGGCAACCCUGAUCCAGCCAUGCCGCGUGAGUGAAGAAGGCCUUCGGGUUGUAAAGCUCUUUCAGCCGGAACGAAACGGUUACAGUUAAUACCUGUGACUACUGACGGUACCGGAAGAAGAAGCACCGGCUAACUACGUGCCAGCAGCCGCGGUAAUACGUAGGGUGCGAGCGUUAAUCGGAAUUACUGGGCGUAAAGCGUGCGCAGGCAGUUUUGUAAGUCAGAUGUGAAAUCCCCGGGCUUAACCUGGGAACU
rnacentral:rRNA from 1 species